rnacentral:tRNA from 1 species
AGGUGCUUAGCUCAGUAGGUAGAGCGACGUUUUUACAGAGCGUAUGUCACAGGUUCGAUUCCUGUAGCACCUA